UACGUAGGGGGCUAGCGUUGUCCGGAUUUAUUGGGCGUAAAGCGCACGUAGGCGGAUCGAUCAGUCAGGGGUGAAAUCCCAGGGCUCAACCCUGGAACUGCCUUUGAUACUGUCGAUCUGGAGUAUGGAAGAGGUGAGUGGAAUUCCGAGUGUAGAGGUGAAAUUCGUAGAUAUUCGGAGGAACACCAGUGGCGAAGGCGGCUCACUGGUCCAUUACUGACGCUGAGGUGCGAAAGCGUGGGGAGCAAACAGG
rnacentral:rRNA from 1 species